CGAACGCUGGCGGCGUGCCUAACACAUGCAAGUCGAGCGCGAACCCACGCUUCGGCGUGGUAUUAGAGCGGCGAACGGGUGAGUAACACGUGAGUAACCUACCUCCGAGUCUGGGAUAACCACUCGAAAGGGUGGCUAAUACCGGAUAAGCUAGCAGUAUUUUUGGAUACAGCUAGAAAAAGUGGCCAAUCCAUGGAAGCUGCUGUUCGGAGAUGGGCUCGCGUCCCAUUAGCUAGUUGGUGAGGUAAGAGCUCACCAAGGCGACGAUGGGUAGCUGGUCUGAGAGGAUGAUCAGCCACACUGGAACUGAGACACGGUCCAGACUCCUACGGGAGGCAGCAGUGGGGAAUAUUGCGCAAUGGGCGAAAGCCUGACGCAGCAACACCGCGUGAGUGAUGAAGGCCUUCGGGUCGUAAAGCUCUGUUUCGGGGGAAGAUGGGUGUAGUGAUAAAUAGUUGCUACAUUUGACGGUACCCUGGCAGAAAGCACCGGCUAACUCC
rnacentral:rRNA from 1 species